UACGUAGGGGGCAAGCGUUGUCCGGAAUCAUUGGGCGUAAAGAGCGUGUAGGCGGCCCGAUAAGUCCGCUGUGAAAGUCCAGGGCUCAACCCUGGAAUGCCGGUGGAUACUGUCGGGCUCGAAUCCGGAAGAGGUGAGUGGAAUUCCUGGUGUAGCGGUGAAAUGCGCAGAUAUCAGGAGGAACACCGGUGGCGAAGGCGGGUCUCUGGGCCGAAACUGACGCUGAGGAGCGAAAGCGUGGGGAGCAAACAGG
rnacentral:rRNA from 1 species